CUCAACUCUACUCGAGUGAGGUAAAGUCGAGGUAUUGCGUCACCAUGACGUCAUCAGUUCGAGGAAAAUUUGAA
rfam:Bombyx mori DNA, contig: Bm_scaf33_contig20387, strain: p50T/Dazao, build 2, whole genome shotgun sequence.